rnacentral:rRNA from 1 species
GCUAAUACCGCAUACGUCCUGAGGGAGAAAUUGGGGGAUCUUCGGACCUCACGCUAUCAGAUGAGCCUAGGUCGGAUUAGCUAGUUGGUGGGCUAAAGGCCUACCAAGGCGACGAUCCGUAACUGGUCUGAGAGGAUGAUCAGUCACACUGGAACUGAGACACGGUCCAGACUCCUACGGGAGGCAGCAGUGGGGAAUAUUGGACAAUGGGCGAAAGCCUGAUCCAGCCAUGCCGCGUGUGUGAAGAAGGUCUUCGGAUCGUAAAGCACUUUAAGUUGGGAGGAAGGGCAGUAAGUUAAUACCUUGCUGUUUUGACGUUACCAACAGAAUAAGCACCGGCUAACUUCGUGCCAGCAGCCGCGGUAAUACGAAGGGUGCAAGCGUUAAUCGGAAUUACUGGGCGUAAAGCGCGCGUAGGUGGUUCAGCAAGUUGGAUGUGAAAUCCCCGGGCUCAACCUGGGAACUGCAUCCAAAACUACUGAGCUAGAGUACGGUAGAGGGUGGUGGAAUUUCCUGUGUAGCGGUGAAAUGCGUAGAUAUAGGAAGGAACACCAGUGGCGAAGGCGACCACCUGGACUGAUACUGACACUGAGGUGCGAAAGCUGGGGAGCAAACA